UCCCUUGUGGCUCAGCUGGUAGAGACUCCACCUGCAAUGUGGGUAGACCUGGGUUCAAUCCCUAGGUUGGGAA
rnacentral:tRNA from 1 species